rnacentral:rRNA from 1 species
GAUGAACGCUGGCGGCGUGCCUAAUACAUGCAAGUCGAGCGAACGGACGAGAAGCUUGCUUCUCUGAUGUUAGCGGCGGACGGGUGAGUAACACGUGGAUAACCUACCUAUAAGACUGGGAUAACUUCGGGAAACCGGAGCUAAUACCGGAUAAUAUUUUGAACCGCAUGGUUCAAAAGUGAAAGACGGUCUUGCUGUCACUUAUAGAUGGAUCCGCGCUGCAUUAGCUAGUUGGUAAGGUAACGGCUUACCAAGGCAACGAUGCAUAGCCGACCUGAGAGGGUGAUCGGCCACACUGGAACUGAGGCACGGUCCAGACUCCUACGGGAGGCAGCAGUAGGGAAUCUUCCGCAAUGGGCGAAAGCCUGACGGAGCAACGCCGCGUGAGUGAUGAAGGUCUUCGGACCGUAAAACUCUGUUAUUAGGGAAGAACAUAUGUGUAAGUAACUGUGCACAUCUUGACGGUACCUAAUCAGAAAGCCACGGCUAACUACGUG